AAUCAACGCUGGCGGCGUGCCUAACACAUGCAAGUCGAACGCGAAAGCCCCUUCGGGGGUAAGUAGAGUGGCGUCCGGGUGAGUAACACGUAGGUAAUCUACCUUCGGGUGGGGAAGUAACUCGCCGAAAGGCGAGCUAAUACCGCAUAAUGCAGCGGCACCUAAUGGUGAUUAGUUGUUAAAGCGGGGGAGUCGUAAGACCUCGCGCCUGAAGAGGAGCCUGCGGCGGANAUUAGCUAGNGGUGAGGUAAUGGCUCACCAAGGCUUCGAUCUGUAGCUGGCCUGAGAGGGCGACCGGCCACACUGGGACUGAGACACGGCCAAGACUCCUACGGGAGGCAGCAGUGGGGAAUCUUGCGCAAUGGGCGAAAGCCUGACGCAGCGACGCCGCGUGAGGGAUGACGGCC
rnacentral:rRNA from 1 species